rnacentral:ncRNA from 1 species
UUUCAGGGGUGGUGAAAUUCCACACCGGAGGUGAUCGAAUUUAUUCGUAAGUCCUCGACCGCAGAGAUGCGUUGAUUCGGUGAAAAUCCGAAACCGACGGUAAAGUCCGGAUGGAAGAAA